rnacentral:rRNA from 1 species
UUCCUACGGGGGGCAGCAGUGGGGAAUAUUGCACAAUGGGCGAAAGCCUGAUGCAGCAACGCCGCGUGAAGGAAGACGGUUUUCGGAUUGUAAACUUCUAUCAAUAGGGAAGAAAGAAAUGACGGUACCUAAAUAAGAAGCCCCGGCUAACUACGUGCCAGCAGCCGCGGUAAUACGUAGGGGGCGAGCGUUAUCCGGAUUCACUGGGUGUAAAGGGAGCGUAGACGGCCGUGCAAGCCAGGAGUGAAAGCCCGGGGCCCAACCCCGGGACUGCUCUUGGAGCUGUGCGGCUGGAGUGCGGGAGG